rnacentral:rRNA from 1 species
GAACCGUCAAACGUUAUUCGGAAUCAUUGGGCUUAAAGGGUGCGUAGGCGGCUCUGCAAGUUGGGGUGUGAAAUACCUCGGGCUCAACCGAGGAACUGCGCUCAAAACUGCAAAGCUUGAGGGAGAUAGAGGUGAGUGGAACUAUGGGUGGAGCGGUGAAAUGCGUUGAUAUCCGUAGGAACACCGGUGGCGAAAGCGGCUCACUGGGUCUCUUCUGACGCUGAGGUACGAAAGCCAGGGGAGCGAACGGGAUUAGAUACCCCGGUAGUCCUGGCUGUAAACGAUGAGCACUAGAUCGUAGGGGUUCCAUGCCCUUACGGUCGAACUGAAAAGGUUAAGUGCUCCGCCUGGGGAGUAUGUCCGCAAAGGAUG